AACGAACGCUGGCGGCAGGCCUAACACAUGCGAGUCGAGCGAGGACUUCGGUUCUAGCGGCGGACGGGUGAGUAACGCGUGGGAAUGUGCCCUUCUCUACGGAAUAGCCCUGGGAAACUGGGAGUAAUACCGUAUACGCCCUAUUGGGGAAAGAUUUAUCGGAGAAGGAUCAGCCCGCGUUGGAUUAGGUAGUUGGUGGGGUAAUGGCCUACCAAGCCGACGAUCCAUAGCUGGUUUGAGAGGAUGACCAGCCACACUGGGACUGAGACACGGCCCAGACUCCUACGGGAGGCAGCAGUGGGGAAUCUUAGACAAUGGGGGCAACCCUGAUCUAGCCAUGCCGCGUGAGUGAUGAAGGCCUUAGGGUUGUAAAGCUCUUUCAGCUGGGAAGAUAAUGACGGUACCAGCAGAAGAAGCCCCGGCUAACUCCGUG
rnacentral:rRNA from 1 species